GACGAACGCUGGCGGCGUGCCUAAUACAUGCAAGUCGAGCGCAGGAAGUCAUCCGAACCCUUCGGGGGGACGUUGACGGAAUGAGCGGCGGACGGGUGAGUAACACGUAAAGAACCUGCCCUCAGGUCUGGGAUAACCACGAGAAAUCGGGGCUAAUACCGGAUGGGUCAUCGGACCGCAUGGUCCGAGGAUGAAAGGCGCUCCGGCGUCGCCUGGGGAUGGCUUUGCGGUGCAUUAGCUAGUUGGUGGGGUAAUGGCCCACCAAGGCGACGAUGCAUAGCCGACCUGAGAGGGUGAUCGGCCACACUGGGACUGAGACACGGCCCAGACUCCUACGGGAGGCAGCAGUAGGGAAUCUUCCACAAUGGGCGAAAGUCUGAUGGAGCAACGCCGCGUGAACGAUGAAGGCCCUCGGGUCGUAAAGUUCUGUUGUAAGGGAAGAACAAGUGCCGCAGGCAAUGGCGGCACCUUGACGGUACCUUGCGAGAAGGCCACGGCUAACUACGUG
rnacentral:rRNA from 1 species